UACGUAGGUGGCAAGCGUUGUCCGGAAUUAUUGGGCGUAAAGCGCGCGCAGGCGGUCCUUUAAGUCUGAUGUGAAAGCCCACGGCUCAACCGUGGAGGGUCAUUGGAAACUGGGGGACUUGAGUGCAGAAGAGGAAAGCGGAAUUCCACGUGUAGCGGUGAAAUGGCGUUGAGAAUCGGAAGGAACGCCCGUGGCGAAAGCGAGCCCCCUGGACGUCUAACUGGAC
rnacentral:rRNA from 1 species